GGUCAAGUGAAGAAGCGCAUACGGUGGAUGCCUUGGCAGUCAGAGGCGAUGAAAGACGUGGUAGCCUGCGAAAAGCUUCGGGGAGUCGGCAAACAGACUUUGAUCCGGAGAUGUCUGAAUGGGGGAACCCAGCCAUCAUAAGAUGGUUAUCUUGUACUGAAUACAUAGGUGCAAGAGGCGAACCAGGGGAACUGAAACAUCUAAGUACCCUGAGGAAAAGAAAUCAACCGAGAUUCCCUUAGUAGUGGCGAGCGAACGGGGACUAGCCCUUAAGUGGCUUUGAGAUUAGCGGAACGCUCUGGAAAGUGCGGCCAUAGUGGGUGAUAGCCCUGUACGCGAAAAUCUCUUAGUCAUGAAAUCGAGUAGGACGGAGCACGAGAAACUUUGUCUGAAUAUGGGGGGACCAUCCUCCAAGGCUAAAUACUACUGACUGACCGAUAGUGAACUAGUACCGUGAGGGAAAGGCGAAAAGAACCCCGGAGAGGGGAGUGAAAUAGAUCCUGAAACCGUAUGCGUACAAGCAGUGGGAGCCUACUUUGUUAGGUGACUGCGUACCUUUUGUAUAAUGGGUCAGCGACUUAUUUUCAGUGGCGAGCUUAACCGAAUAGGGGAGGCGUAGCGAAAGCGAGUCUUAAUAGGGCGUCUAGUCGCUGGGAAUAGACCCGAAACCGGGCGAUCUAUCCAUGGGCAGGUUGAAGGUUGGGUAACACUAACUGGAGGACCGAACCGACUACCGUUGAAAAGUUAGCGGAUGACCUGUGGAUCGGAGUGAAAGGCUAAUCAAGCUCGGAGAUAGCUGGUUCUCCUCGAAAGCUAUUUAGGUAGCGCCUCAUGUAUCACUGUAGGGGGUAGAGCACUGUUUCGGCUAGGGGGUCAUCCCGACUUACCAAACCGAUGCAAACUCCGAAUACCUACAAGUGCCGAGCAUGGGAGACACACGGCGGGUGCUAACGUCCGUCGUGAAAAGGGAAACAACCCAGACCGUCAGCUAAGGUCCCAAAGUUAUGGUUAAGUGGGAAACGAUGUGGGAAGGCUUAGACAGCUAGGAGGUUGGCUUAGAAGCAGCCACCCUUUAAAGAAAGCGUAAUAGCUCACUAGUCGAGUCGGCCUGCGCGGAAGAUGUAACGGGGCUCAAACCAUACACCGAAGCUACGGGUAUCACGUAAGUGAUGCGGUAGAGGAGCGUUCUGUAAGCCUGUGAAGGUGAGUUGAGAAGCUUGCUGGAGGUAUCAGAAGUGCGAAUGCUGACAUGAGUAACGACAAUGGGUGUGAAAAACACCCACGCCGAAAGACCAAGGUUUCCUGCGCAACGUUAAUCGACGCAGGGUUAGUCGGUCCCUAAGGCGAGGCUGAAAAGCGUAGUCGAUGGAAAACAGGUUAAUAUUCCUGUACUUCUGGUUAUUGCGAUGGAGGGACGGAGAAGGCUAGGCCAGCUUGGCGUUGGUUGUCCAAGUUUAAGGUGGUAGGCUGAGAUCUUAGGUAAAUCCGGGAUCUUAAGGCCGAGAGCUGAUGACGAGCUAACUUUUAGUUAGCGAAGUGGUUGAUGCCAUGCUUCCAAGAAAAGCUUCUAAGCUUCAGGUAACCAGGAACCGUACCCCAAACCGACACAGGUGGUUGGGUAGAGAAUACCAAGGCGCUUGAGAGAACUCGGGUGAAGGAACUAGGCAAAAUGGCACCGUAACUUCGGGAGAAGGUGCGCCGGUGAGGGUGAAGGACUUGCUCCGUAAGCUCAUGCCGGUCGAAGAUACCAGGCCGCUGCGACUGUUUAUUAAAAACACAGCACUCUGCAAACACGAAAGUGGACGUAUAGGGUGUGACGCCUGCCCGGUGCCGGAAGGUUAAUUGAUGGGGUUAGCUAACGCGAAGCUCUUGAUCGAAGCCCCGGUAAACGGCGGCCGUAACUAUAACGGUCCUAAGGUAGCGAAAUUCCUUGUCGGGUAAGUUCCGACCUGCACGAAUGGCGUAACGAUGGCGGCGCUGUCUCCACCCGAGACUCAGUGAAAUUGAAAUCGCUGUGAAGAUGCAGUGUAUCCGCGGCUAGACGGAAAGACCCCGUGAACCUUUACUAUAGCUUUGCACUGGACUUUGAAUUUGCUUGUGUAGGAUAGGUGGGAGGCUUUGAAGCGUGGACGCCAGUUCGCGUGGAGCCAUCCUUGAAAUACCACCCUGGCAACUUUGAGGUUCUAACUCAGGUCCGUCAUCCGGAUCGAGGACAGUGUAUGGUGGGUAGUUUGACUGGGGCGGUCUCCUCCUAAAGAGUAACGGAGGAGUACGAAGGUGCGCUCAGACCGGUCGGAAAUCGGUCGUAGAGUAUAAAGGCAAAAGCGCGCUUGACUGCGAGACAGACACGUCGAGCAGGUACGAAAGUAGGUCUUAGUGAUCCGGUGGUUCUGUAUGGAAGGGCCAUCGCUCAACGGAUAAAAGGUACUCCGGGGAUAACAGGCUGAUACCGCCCAAGAGUUCAUAUCGACGGCGGUGUUUGGCACCUCGAUGUCGGCUCAUCACAUCCUGGGGCUGAAGCCGGUCCCAAGGGUAUGGCUGUUCGCCAUUUAAAGUGGUACGCGAGCUGGGUUUAGAACGUCGUGAGACAGUUCGGUCCCUAUCUGCCGUGGACGUUUGAGAUUUGAGAGGGGCUGCUCCUAGUACGAGAGGACCGGAGUGGACGAACCUCUGGUGUUCCGGUUGUCACGCCAGUGGCAUUGCCGGGUAGCUAUGUUCGGAAUAGAUAACCGCUGAAAGCAUCUAAGCGGGAAACUAGCCUCAAGAUGAGAUCUCACUGGAACCUUGAGUUCCCUGAAGGGCCGUCGAAGACUACGACGUUGAUAGGUUGGGUGUGUAAGCGCUGUGAGGCGUUGAGCUAACCAAUACUAAUUGCCCGUGAGGCUUGACCAU
rnacentral:rRNA from 1 species